CAGGAAUGAAUGUCUGCAGUGAUAUCUUCCCGCUACAUUCACCAGUGGGUUCCAGAGGCUGCUCCGUGAAGGGCUCUCGGCACAAGCCAAGGGGAGAAGGAUGCAAAUACAGACUUUUGGAUCUGUUUUUAAGGGAGAAGCAGAACCGAAAACUUGGACAUGAAUGUUCACGGCGGUAUCAUUCACAAUGCGAAAGAGUGGGAAAAAUGUCCAGAGGUCAUCAAUGAAUCAACAAACAGCCCGUUUUGACAACCAGCAAUGUGGAGAGGUGAGCCGACACUGCCAGAGAAAGCCUGACAUGCAAGAGUCUUCCAUGAAACAUGAGCGACAUGGUCUUAUGCACCUCGGUGGCCCAAAGGGCUAGUCAACAUGUAGGCUCAAUAAAAAUGUGUUGGGCAGGUCCCUUCCCCUC